AGUAGGUCCAUGCCUGGGAUCUGAACCCACGAACCUGGGCCUCCGAAGCAGAGAGUGUGGAACAUUAACCACUUGGCCGUGGGGCCGGGCCCAGGAGUACCUCUUUAUGAUCAUGAAAUCUGAAGGCUGUAAGCAAUCUCAGAGGACUUGUCUUUCAAAAUGUUUACUUUUCAGAUAAGGGAACAUUAGACCCCUUAGCUUCCAAACAACAGGUUUUCCCCACUCUGCUCCUAGCUAUUAUUACUAGUCAGGAAUGAAACACAAAGGAAGGGGCACUAAUAUGUGCCCCAAAAGAUGCGAGCACCUACAGAAGAGCCAGUGCUUCAGCCAAAGAAGGCACUCCACAAACGUGUGUAAGUGAAUUUAUUCAAAAGAUUAAAGCACGGUUUCUGUCCCCAAGAAUUUUACAUAUAAAUGAAAAUCACCAAAGGUUUCUAUGUCAACAUAUAAUGAAUUCAGUGAUGUUCUGGAGCAAACAGUACACAGCACAAAAUAUAGGAGGGAGGGGAAAAAGGUUAAGGGGUAAAAUGCAGGAAGGGUUCUUGGAAGAGGAGAAUUGAGCUUUGAAAAAUUGGUAAAGAAAGCAGUCUAGAAUUUCUCCAAAGAAAGUUGUUGACAUGUUUACAAUACCUGCUUCCCUUUUCCACAUUAUUUAAAAAUUUUAACAGGCACCCUAAUUUUUUCUAAACAAUUUUACCUGCUAUAAUUAUAUUCAGGAAAGAGUUUCCACUCUAUUCCACAGAGGACUUUUGGGAUCCACUGAGAAGGGAAUAGUAGGAGGAAAAAGAAAACUUUUAAAUGCUCAAUAUAAAUUCUUUAAAACAGAAAUAUCUUUAAAUGGCAGGACAUAAAUUUUCUCAAGUUUUAAAGUUUAUCAAAAUAAAACUAGACCCCAAAAAUUAACAGGAAGAAAAACAUAAAAACAUAAAAUCCCAUGACUGCAACCUAAAACCUACACUAAAUUAAUGGGACAUUUGGGUGACAUAAAGGGCUCCUCUUUCCAGCUACUUUAAUGAGAACAGAAUCAUGGUGGCAAGAAAAAGAACACUGGAGAAGAGACUCUGUUCUAGUUCUAGACAGAAGAGUGAACAAAAGUAAGCCACUUCUGCUCUUGGGGUCUCAGUUUCCACAUCUGUAAAAGGAACAUUUAAGUUACUCAAUGACCUAAAUUUCUGUAAUUCUAUCUGUAAACUCCCCAGUCAUUCAGAUAUCAUUCUCUUACAGCAAGCUAUAGGUUAGGCAUUAAUCCACAGGGGUAGCAAAAACCAAAUGAAUUUAUGUCACGUGCAAUUCUGCCACUGCAGCAAAAUUGUGCAAUUGCUGUAAGCCAACAAGUCUUGUGUUGAAACAGGACAUCAAAGAAAUAAGCUUGGAUUUGCAGUGAAGCACGAUGCGCUGAAACCUGCAUUCACCUCUGCUCUCUCCAGAACUCCACUAAAAUGGCAUUAAAAAUGUAAAAUCCUAAAGCACAAAGAACAGGUGAGGAAACAACCACAAUAAAGUUUCUGGAAGCUGAAAAGCAAAUGAAUAAGUUAAUUGAUUUAGUUGAACAAAGAAAGCAAAAACUAAGAACAUUUUAAGGGGAAACCCAGAGCAAACAGAAUUGUGCUGGGAUGCACCAGAAAAGCUCAGAAUGCCUCUGAAAUUGAGGUGAGCAGGCAGGGCUGAAAACAGGAGAAGAGGCUGAAAGUCCUACCCCAAGAUCCUGACUCCAAAUAGCCAUCAGUCAGAGGAUGGGAAGUUUACUCUCUGGAAACUAAAGAGACUCUGGACAGGCAUAACGAGGAGCAGGCCUACCAGACUUAAAAGAUAGGGGUUAAGGGAAAGCCAAUAUCCACAAGGUAAAUGUCCCCAGCUCUCUCUCCACUCAGCUCCCCAGAUACUGGAGCCACGUGUGUAACCGAUGAUUGAAGCAUUCUCUCUGGGGAAGAACCUGGCCCAGAGAAAAACACCUACAAACACUGAUGCUGCAGAUGACCCUCCAAGGAAGCUGGGUCCCUGGCUAAUCACCUUAUAAUGAAGACGACUAGUUAACUUUUAGAAGCCCCCACACUCCAGCAAUUCAGCUUUCAGUUUUUCAAUGGCUCAUUCUGGAAUAUGCGUAAGAUGGCCAAGGCUAUACAUUUAAGGAAAUUCCAUAACUGAAAGACCAAAACAAAUGAUCAAGUAAAGGUAUUUUAAGGGAACAGAGAUAGUCCAGGAGGCUGAAGAAAUUUUUUUAAAUUAUAAUUAAAAUACUCAGAGAAGAACUAUUCCACCCAUGAAACAAAAAUAGAAAACUAUUAAAAAGCAACAGAGAAAAAAACUCUUGAAAAUUAAAAAUAUGAUAGCAGAAAUAUAAAACUAAUUAGAAGAGUCUAAAGAUGAAGUUCAGGAGACUUCCCAGAAAGUAGAACGAACCAAAAAGAUGAGAAAUAGAAAAGAUGGGAAAAUUAAAGGACCCGUCAGUUCUAAGUUCCAAACACAAAUAAUAAGAGUUCCAGAGAGAAAGAAUACGAGAACUGGGGUCAAGGGGGAGAAGGGCGAGGCUGAUUAGAAUUUAGGAACUCAAGGGGCCGGCUCCAUGGCCUAGUGGUUAAGUUUGGUGCACUCUGCUUCAGAGGCCCGAGUUCGGUUCUCAAGUGAAGACAUACACUACUUGUUGGUGGCCACGUCUAGGAAAAUGGCAUUAAAUACCAAAAGAAACAGCUGGAAGAGUAGAAAAUGGAGAAAAGGCAGAAUGUUGGGGAGAGGAAAAGCAGGAAAGGAAAGCACAAAUCCUGUGAAUCUGCUGGAACAAGGAAAAGAGCAUUCUGAGUCAGAGUCGAUCCUUCUUUCCUGAAGAGUGAAACAAGCAGUAGUGGGAUCCAUGUGCAAAUCUCAAACACCUGCUGCCCAACUUUCUCUACGACCCUAAGAAGUGGCACCUCAACUAAGAAGUAGGCUUUUCUCUAUCCCCAAAUACUUUAAAAAUCGAAACAUCUAUGUUUUCUAUUGCCCUUUCAUAGAAAAAUAAGGAGUAUAACGUGGUAUUUGUUCAUCAUAUUUAAUAUCAUCUACUUAUAUUCAAUGAGCUUUAAAACAGUACUUAUUGAUGAAUGUUGGGCUCUUCAUGGACAGACAAGUAGAGAAGGUGUUGCCUGCUACUUACUCAGCUGUGGGACAUGCAGGAAGACUGUAAACAGGGGGAAACAGCCAGAUCUGAUUUUUUGAUAAUCUUCUACUGAUUUGUGACCAGGGGAGAUUUUUUUUAAAAACUAAUAUGAAGAGGCACUUUCCCACCAAAUUUACUCUGGGAAAAACAUUUGCUUUCAAUUUUCAGCAUUAGUGAAGACAAUUAGAAUAGAUUAGCAAGGUGUUUUAAUUGUAGCAUACUUUAUAGCUUUCAAGUUGAAUGCUUAAAAAAAAGUUUGUUUCAUUGUAUCUUGGAAUCAGGAAGAAAACAAUACUUUAAGAUUCUGCAUAAAGUAUGAUGUUCUUCCCUUUUUGAAGUUUGAGAAAAUACAUUAAUAUCUUACAAAAUACAAUGCAUAACCAAAAGUUCCUCCAGCUUAAAUAAAAAAUACUAUGUUCAUUCUUUCAUGCUUAUUUCACAGAAGGGAAACAGCUAACUAGAAUAUGAAGAAAUGCUCAAACUCACUAGUAAUUAGAAAAUACAAAUUAAAAUGAGACAUUACUAAAUGGCAAAAAUUAGAAAUGUUAACAAUACCAAGUAUAGGGGAGGUUGGGAAUGCACUGCCUGUGGGGUAUAAACUGAUAAAACCAUGCAGUAGCCUGAUAGUACUUAUGCCACAGUACCACUCCUGAGUCUGGAUCCCAAAGAAAUUCUCAAAUACAUAAAUAAUAGACACGUCCAAAACUGUUAUUGGUAGCAUUGUUUAUGGUAGCCUAGCAUCCAUUACUAUGGGAACGGAUGCACACCACAGAGUACUAGGCAGAAGUUAGGAGCAAUUAGCUAAAUGUGCAUCCAAAAACAUACAUAGAUCUUAAAACACAGUGCUGAGUGAAAAAAGUAAAAACCAGAGUAAGAUCUACAGCAUUUUUAUAAGGAGAAUUCUAUAGCUAAAUUCUACAACAGUGGGAUAUAAUGAGCAAUUUUGCAAUUAAACAUACAUAUACAAAAACAUCACUAAGUAUUUUAGAAAGAUGCAUAUAGAAUUGAGGACAUAUAUCGAACACAUCAGAGAAGGUGCUUGUGGGGUAGGAGAGGAAAACAGGCAUGGGAAUGGGGGCUGAACAGAAGGCGUUUAUACAUCAACGCUAGACUGUGCCCAACUCAUAGAGCAUGAAGUCCAAAGUCAGAAUAAUAUUUUUCAUUCAUGCAUAUGUUAAUUUAGUCAAUAAAAACUUACUAAAGACCCCUUGAGUGCCAAGUACUGUGCUUAAAUAUAAGUUUUUCUUGCUUUUCUGAAGGUUUUUUUUAAACCUCAAAACGAUAUGUUUUAAGAUACAUUUCAACAAGAAGUAGAAGGAAAAAAAUAAUUUACAUUAGAAUAUAUAUACUAUAAAGUGAGAAAUUCAUCAUUCUUAAAAGUUUCAUAAAUUUUUUAAAUCAAAUAUAAAGAUACCUUGAGUCCUUUAAAUGACAAACUUAAAGGAAAAGUUGAAAUACAAAAAGAACUCUAAAGCCCUACAAAAUUACAUUGUUACAUCUCAUCCACAGGAAAAAGAUCUUUUCUCAUGGCUUUCAGUAGUGAAACAAUUUGUUUUUGGAGGAGAAAUUUUUUCUACUUUAUUUGUUCCAUGUAACUUUCCCCCCAAAGAUAUUUCAACUGCUCAGGAACACUUCUCAUCAGAUUUCUGUUUUCUAAAAGAUUUCACAAGCAGACUGCUGGCUGCCAAUGUAGGUGUUGUAGCUAAUAUGCUCAUUACACUGUACUGCUAACAAAAACUGAUUAACACAUUCAGUGCAAAGUGACACAUCUAUUCCACAAUCCCACGGGCAAAGAAAAUGAUGUCUUCCCCCCAGAUUACCUGCUCCAGUGUUUUUCACAAACCCCAAAUGUUAACUAGUAUACAUGAUAAUAUUGGUAAACAAAAUCAAUAGCAACCUGAAGGACAUCACAUGUCUAAUUUAAAAUUGUAACUGCAGUGUUUCAGACUUUCAUGCUAGGUGUUAGUAGGUGAGAGGAUCAAAGGUGAAGAAUAGGAAUGGUAGGGUCAGCCACCAAGACUAGUGGAAAAAAAUCCAAGAUACACGAUCUGUCGGUGGAGUCACCAGAAUCGUUACCACACAUAAUAAAAGCUAUCACGUUAAUUUAUUCAGGCUUACAAAAGAUAAUGCAUUUUCAUUCAAUAAUAAAAGCUAACACUGAGCACUUAACUAUGUGUCAGUCAUUGCUCUAAACAUUUUAUGUACAUUAUUUAAUUUAAUCCUCACAACAACCCAAUAGACUAGAUACUAUUAUCUCCAUUUUAUAGAUCAUUUUUCAAAUCAAAAGCACGCUCUUUAUCAUUGCCUUUAGAACUUCCACCAAAGGGCCUCAAGUUCCACUAUAUCCCCUCUCUC